UCCCGCCGCCCUCCGUCCGCUCGCCCUUCGCCGCCGCCGCCCGCCAUGAUCCGCGCCCGCCAGCUCCUCCGCCUCGCGGCGCUGCCGCCGCCCCGCGCCCGCUCCUACGCCGAUGCUGCGGCCGGGCCCGCGGCCAUGGCCUUCACCUUCGCCUCCCCCACGCAGGUGUUCUACAACGGUGCCAACGUGAAGCAGGUGGACGUGCCCACCCUGACCGGCUCCUUCGGCAUCCUGGCCUCCCACGUCCCCACGCUGCAGGUCCUGAAGCCAGGAGUGGUGACGGUGUACGGAGAGGACGGCACGGCCACCAAAUACUUCGUGAGCAGCGGCUCCGUCACGGUCAAUGCAGACUCCACGGUGCAGGUGCUGGCGGAGGAGGCGGUGACGAUGGACAUGCUGGAUCUGGCUACUGCAAAAUCAAACCUGGAGAAGGCCGUUUCAGAGAUGGCUGCAGCCUCCGACGAAGCUGCUAAAGCCGAAGCCCAGAUUAAAGUGGAAGCCAACGAGGCUCUCGUCAAAGCCUUGGAGUAACAGGGUUGGGAGGCUCUCUGUGCAGCGCUGUGCUGUGCCUGGCAGGUGAGUCACUGCGGCUCAGCUGGCCUCUCCCCGGAGCAGCAAGGCUGAGCCCUCAGAUCAGGAUCCACUGCUCUGCUGAGCCCACCCUGCGUUCACACCGACUCCGCCUCUGUGUGUUGCAGGAAUCCCACUGACGCUCUAGAAAAACCCCAGGCUGUCCUACUUGUUCUGGCUUCCCCGUUUGUACAGAUGGUGUGGGACAAAUGGAGGCGGAGAAACUGCUCUGAUCAAUUAAAAGGAAAUGCAGUCCUGU